AGGAGAAGCAGUAGGAGUAGGAGGUGCUGGUGGUGGAGAAGUUACAACAGGAGGUGGGGAUGAAACUGUGGGGGGUGGUGAAGCAGUUGGUGGUGGCUGAGCCGGUGGUGUUUGGUUGUUAACUGGUGGAGGAGAACCAGUGGGUGUAGGUGGAGCUUGGGUAGCUGGUGUUGGAGGCGCUUGGGUAGUGGGUGUAGGUGGUGCUUGGUUAGUGGGUGUUGGAGGAGCCUGGUUAGUGGGUGUUGGUGGAGUCUGUGUAGGUGGUGCUUGAUUAGUAGGGGGUGCCUGUGUUGGUGGUGCCUGUGUAGGUGGUGCUUGGGUAGGGGGUGCCUGUGUUGGUGGUGCCUGCGUAGGUGGUGCUUGGUUAGUAGGGGGUGUCUGUGUUGGUGGUGCCUGUGUAGGUGGUGCUUGGGUAGGGGGUGUUGGAGGUGCUUGACCUCCAACCCCAGCGACGAUAAUGCAGAUCAUAAACCCCAACAAAACAGCAUUAUUCCUACCCAUCAUUUUGACAAUGGAGAGGAGGAAAUUAAAGGAAUGUGAAAGAAGAUAUCUGGUGCUGCUUGGGAAAAGAGAGGUUUGGGAAGGGAAUAUAUAAGAGAUUUUCUAAAAGAAGUAUGGUAUAUAUUUGAAGGUUGGAAAAGAAAGAGUAGAAAGGUGGCAAAUCCAAUUUGUAGUAACAGUGUGAGUUGUGACUACCAAAUACUUAUG
rnacentral:lncRNA from 1 species